rnacentral:rRNA from 1 species
UAACACGUGGGUAACCUGCCUGUAAGACUGGGAUAACUCCGGGAAACCGGAGCUAAUACCGGAUAGUUCCUUGAACCGCAUGGUUCAAGGAUGAAAGACGGUUUCGGCUGUCACUUACAGAUGGACCCGCGGCGCAUUAGCUAGUUGGUGAGGUAACGGCUCACCAAGGCGACGAUGCGUAGCCGACCUGAGAGGGUGAUCGGCCACACUGGGACUGAGACACGGCCCAGACUCCUACGGGAGGCAGCAGUAGGGAAUCUUCCGCAAUGGACGAAAGUCUGACGGAGCAACGCCGCGUGAGUGAUGAAGGUUUUCGGAUCGUAAAGCUCUGUUGUUAGGGAAGAACAAGUGCAAGAGUAACUGCUUGCACCUUGACGGUACCUAACCAGAAAGCCACGGCUAACUACGUGCCAGCAGCCGCGGUAAUACGUAGGUGGCAAGCGUUGUCCGGAAUUAUUGGGCGUAAAGGGCUCGCAGGCGGUUUCUUAAGUCUGAUGUGAAAGCCCCCGGCUCAACCGGGGAGGGUCAUUGGAAACUGGGAAACUUGAGUGCAGAAGAGGAGAGUGGAAUUCCACGUGUAGCGGUGAAAUGCGUAGAGAUGUGGAGGAACACCAG